GGCAUGGUGAUGCAGUGGUUAGCAUGGCUGCCUCACGUAAAGGAGGUUCUGGGUUUGAGUCCCAGCUGGCCA
rnacentral:tRNA from 1 species